UCAACCUUAAAUAUAUAAUAUUCUCCUGUGCUGUUCUUGCGUAGUGUAAUAGUACGAGAGAGAGGGAGAGGGAGAGAGAGAGAGAGAGAGAUCAUGAAGGUGUUGGGGUUUCUUGUACGCCUGUGCUGUGUUUUUCUGCUGAUCUUCAUGCAUGCAUCCUUUGGUACUGCACAAAAGGGUAAUAUUUAUCAUCCGUUCACCCCAUCAGCAGGCCGCGUGGACAAUGGCCCGAGCAGAGAACCAUCAAGUCCCAUCGGAAAGCCCCCAAGACGCCCAUGAUCAUCAAUCACAUGCACCUACCUUGCUAGUUCAAUAAAUCAAGCUGCAUACUAAUUAAUAAUAUAUAUAUAUAUAUAUAUAGAUGUUUAAUAAAGAUCAGAUGAUGAAACAGCGGAUCAUAUAUAUAGCCUAGCUAUAUGCAGGCUGAGAUCAUUUAUUGUAUGAAGCUUAAUUUGCUUCUUUCUCUGAUGAGUUAAAUAUUUAAUUCCGUCGGCUAACUUCUAUUAAUCGA